UGGCGUUCACACGGUCCUCGUGGCUUGA
rnacentral:sRNA from 1 species